rnacentral:lncRNA from 7 species
AGAUAUUUCUCUGUACUAUACUGGCAGGUUAGGCACCAUCCUUCAUUUUGUUUCUGGAGGUGAUGCUGGUUCCCCAUCCUCUGCUGAUGUGAGAGCUGUGGGGCUGCCCAGGGCUGAGCCACGCAGGUGCCCCUUUCUAUCACGGAGAUAAAAGCUGUGACACAGCCUGGCAGAGCCCAGGAGCUGCUCCCAACCUCUCAUCCCAUCCUCGUGCCCUCCAUCAGAAAACUGAACUGGCAGAGCUAAUGGCUCUGGAAGUGCCUUGGGACAGUAUAUGUAAGAGCAGAAAAGGCUUAGGAAAUAUGCAGCAAGUUCAUUUAGGCUCCUUUCAUGCUUCUCAAAUCUUGAAGCUCCUUUAUUGCUGCUUUAUGUCAAUUUGACACUGCUUGAUUUCACCGUCGCUCUUGAUUUUACUGUGAUGGCACUGCAGCAUUUGGUCCCACACCGAUCCCAUCUGCAGCGUCUCACGUAAUCUGCGUGGGGUUUCGGGCGAUUGAAUUAAAGCUGCUACAUUCAGAUGGCCCUACUGGGGAGAGUAGGAAGCUCAGGCUGGGCUGACGUUACCUAUGUGCGGAACCACAGGCGUAGUGUCGUGCCAGUGAGGAGAUGCUGUGAUUAGUCAUGAGUGUGGUGUGUUUCCUUCUGGAAAAUUGCCACUGGAGAGUGAGCAUCCUUGCAUCACAUUCCCCAUCCCCUGCCCUGGAGGGGACAGCUGCUCCCAUCUCCCCCAAGCACUUCUCCGUGUUCUUCUCCCUCUGUUCCCGCAGCUCCGCGCACACCGCGGCUCUGUUUGUGCCCGCAUUAGCAUUUCUGCUGACUGCAAGGAUCGGUUUAAUUUCAUGGGUGUCAUUUCCUUCAAGAAAUCUCUCUCUGAGCAGCAGCCCGACGAAUGCCUGAUAAAACAUAUUUUCCUACGGUAAUGAUUUUAUGGACCCAUAAGUCAUGAAUUUAUUAUGAUCUCAGCCCCUGCUGCUGAUUGCUGUAAAAUGCAAAGUAAUUAACAGCAAGCGGUAGCAGCUAUUCCCACCUGGUAGCGUGUUCUUGGGUACGCUGAUGGGUUUGAUUAAAGUAAUGGCUAAAGUGUACAGCCCGGCUGUAAAAUAUUAGCAUGAUUAAUGCAGUAUCCUAAAUAAGAAACAAAACGAAUGGGCAUGGUCUAAAGAAUUAAAAAAAUAUAGAUAUUCCUUUCCUUCCCUCAAGCUAUUGUUCUGGCUCAUUUAUGCUUUCUUUUCUGUUAAAUAAUGUAUGGGCUUCAGGGCCA